GCGCCCGUAGCUCAGCUGGAUAGAGUGUCGCCCUCCGAAGGCGAAGGUCACUGGUUCGAAUCCAGUCGGGCGCGCCA
rnacentral:tRNA from 2 species